UUGAGAUUGAGGCCUGUGUUCCUGAAAGCCUCGUCUCUGACACCAGCUGCCAAAGUGCCUGAGACCCGUUCAACCCAGAAGUGGAUACAAGGCAUCUUCAAUCCCCAAGGCAAGUAACAUGAUUUGAGUUUUUCUGGAAACCUGAGGUCGUUUUCCAGGAUGUUGUAUGAGUGGAGCAUCUCCAAAGAGGUCUGGGAUCCAAUUAUAGUCUAGUAUGGCUAGCUCAGCUCUUCCUGAAGGGUGGAGAGAUGCUGCGCAGGUGCCUGUACCCAUGCCUGGAUGGGCAGACUGGGUUGUUGGGUCACACGGUGAGUUAGGAGUAGCAGGAGGUUCAGUGGUGCCUCAGGCUGCUGAAGUCCUCGUAGCAAGUAGGAACUGUGCCAGAAGAGCCAAGACAAAACCUUAGAUCGAGUGCAGACUGUGCCCUGGUGCCCAGGGUUUACAGAGACAGACCAGGAAGCUGCUGCUGUAGGAAUACCGGGUGGCAUCUGUACUGGGAAUGGCUAGCAUUUGAGAAAUGUCAGCAACCAAAACAUUGCCAGUGGGCCAAAUGCUGCAAAGUCUCAUAGUGCAAAAGCUUAAUUUUAUGUUGUAGAGAUUUCAGCAAGAAGCAAGAAAAACAUUUAGAAGGAUUAAAAGUCACAAAAAGAGAAAAGAAAGGAAAAGAAAAGAGAAAAAAAGAAGAAGAAAAAUGGAAGAGACCAAACCUGUGUAUACAGUGCAUUUAGGGAUUCAGUGGGAGGUGCCACUUUGUACCCCCGCCCCCCCCAACUACACAAAUAGGGUAGGGGACUGAAAGCUAAAGACAGUCAUUAGAGGCAGGGCUAGGAUAUGAACCCUAAUGGGUUCUAUUGUAAGUCUGCAUUGCCUCCAAUUUAAAGCUCCACGCUCAGCGUCUCUCUUGACUCUGUGGAGCCUCAGGCAUGGACAAUUUAGGUCCUACCCUCAGCUUAUAAACCAGGAAGUCCAAAUAGAAUUUCUUAGAAGGGCAUGUGCUCAGAAUAGAAGUCUCCUUCGCUGCUCGGUUGACAUUCAGCCUUAUCUGUUC
rnacentral:lncRNA from 1 species